UACGUAGGGUUCAAGCGUUAUCCGGAAUUAUUGGGCGUAAAGAGCUCGUAGGCGGUUUGUCGCGUCUGCUGUGAAAACCCGAGGCUCAACCUCGGGCCUGCAGUGGGUACGGGCAGACUAGAGUGCGGUAGGGGAGAUUGGAAUUCCUGGUGUAGCGGUGGAAUGCGCAGAUAUCAGGAGGAACACCGAUGGCGAAGGCAGAUCUCUGGGCCGUAACUGACGCUGAGGAGCGAAAGCGUGGGGAGCGAACAGG
rnacentral:rRNA from 1 species